AGAGAAUAGAUACCCAGGUAGUCCACGCCGUAAACGAUGCACACUAGCUAUCAGAAAGCAUCGACCCUUCUUGUAGCGAAGCUAACGCGUUAAGUGUGCCGCCUGUGAAGUACGGCCGCAAGGCUAAAACAUAAAGGAAUUGACGGGGGAUCGCACAAGCGGUGGAGCAUGUGGUUUAAUUCGACGAUAACCGGAGAACCUUACCAGGCCUUGACAUCUGCCGAAAGUCCUAGAAAUAGGACCGUGCCAGCAAUGAGUACAUGAAGUUUCGUGUAUUGAUUGCUGGAACGGCAAGACAGGUGUUGCACGGCUGUCGUCAGCUCGUGGCGUGAGCUGUGCCCUUAAGUGGGUAAACGAGCGAAACCCUCGCCAUCAGUUAGAUAUGUCUGAUGGGACUGCCCUCAUUCGAGGGAGGAAGGUGGGGACGACGUCAAGUCAGCGUGGCCCUUACGGCCUGGGCUACACACGUGCUACAAUGGCAUCGACAAUGGGUUGCUAAGUCGCGAGGCGGAGCUAA
rnacentral:rRNA from 1 species